rnacentral:rRNA from 1 species
AAGUUGACCUCAAAUCAGUAAGUACG